UACAGAGGUCCCGAGGCGUUGUUCGGAUUCACGUGGGCGUAGAGGGUGCGCAGGUGGGCUGGUAAGUUCGAUGUGAAAAGCCCCGGGCUUAACCCGGGAAUGGCAAUUGGAUACUACUGGUCUGGAGGCAUUGGAGGGGGGAGCUGGAAUUCUUGGAUGUAGCAGGUGAAACUGCGUAGAUAUACAAGAGGAACACCAGUG
rnacentral:rRNA from 1 species